UUAUUGCAGCUCAGCCCAGAUCAAUCUUUUGGCCAGCUGCUCCAGUGCAUCAUGGGGCUCUGGCUCCCUAUUGAUGUGGAUCCCCAACACAUCCUUCAGAGCCACGCCCAAAAUAGGUCACAUGAUUUAUUGUAUUUGAUGUGGAUUUUAUCUUUAUUUUUUUGUCAUAUCAGUCACUUUAUGUUGUACUUUUUAUGUUAUAGCCCUAGACCUUGAUUGUAUUGUUUGCUUACCACGUAACCUUCUUUUUAGGCAUUAAACUUGGCAGAUAUGCAGGUUUUGGUGUUAAAUUGCCUUUUUGUACACAUGCCUAAACUGUCAAGGUGCUCAUUUGCCUUCUGUCCUGAAAAACCUCCAAAGUGGUGAGUACCAUAUAUUCACUGGUUUCAUAAAUUGUAUGUGGCAGGUUAUUUAUCUUUGUAUUACAUUUUUGUCAAUGAAAACUCAUUGUUUACCAGUUACAUUUACUCAUCUAUAUUGUGUUAUAGAACAGAAAGAAGUCCAAGAAUGUGUGGAAGAGGGUGCUGUCCCAGCUGACACCAUUGACGUCACAGCUGAGAACUCUUACUCUAGACUGGAGGGGAUGGCAUUGACUGGGAUAGGUCGGUCUUCUCAGACUAUCUGUGGAGAAAGCACAACCUUCCGCCCAACUGUGACAGAGAAAAGCCAUCGACCCCCAGAAGACACAAAUGUGGGAUGCUUUGGCUUCUACCCCAUCACCACCCUAGGAUCCCUCUGUCCAUAGGUCCUGCUGUUUGGCACUGCCUGGGAUAUGGCGGGGCCAUGGUGGUGGUCCACUGGCCUCCAAGUCCAAGUGCCAUCCCUCAUUGGUGCCAAACAGUUCCUUCAGGUUCUGUAGCAGCUCCAACCUCAGCUGUCAAAACCCUUUGCAACAAAACUGUCAAGGAGAGGAUGAUACAUUUGGCCUAUGCUCAGGGAGAGAUGCUGGAGGAGGUCUAGGAGCCCGAGAGAGGUCAAGGAGGAACUCUGUGGACAAUGGCCACUGGCCCUCAGGGUCCCAGCCAUCCUCUAGCGUCAACUCGGAUACAAAUGGAGAUAGUCAACCUUUUAAAAGGAAGAAAGACACUGAAAGAUCCAGGACUAAGACCCAGAAGUAAAAACACUCAUCAGGGCUGUGAACAUGAAAUCUUUCAUCCAGAGCUGUCCUUAUAUUUUAGAUAAAUAAUAAUAUUUCUGUC